rnacentral:sRNA from 3 species
UAUCUCUCCGUACGGGGAAGGAUGAGAAGCUUCGACCAAGGUUCGAUUCGAGCGCAGCGAGAAAGCGUUGCCGUAGGCAACGACCCGAAGGGCGAAGCGCGCAGCGCUGAGUAAUCCUUCCCCCACCACCA